CGAGUGGUAGUCACUUUUAUUGAGCCUAAAGCGUUUGUAGCCGGAUUUGUAAAUCUCUAGGAAAAUACUUCUGCUUAACUGAAGAAAUUUUGGAGAGACUGCAAAUCUAGGGACCGGGUGAGGUUGAAUGUACUUCUGGGGUAGGGGUAAAAUCCUGUAAUCCUGGAAGGACGACCGGUGGCGAAGGCGUUCAACUAGAACGGAUCCGACGGUGAGGAACGAAGGCUAGGGGAGCAAACCGGAUUAGAUACCCGGGUAGUCCUAGCUGUAAACACUGCCCACUUGGUGUUGCAUCUCCGGUAAGGGGGUGCAGUGCCGUAGCGAAGGUGUUAAGUGGGCCGCUUGGGGAGUACGGUCGCAAGGCUGAAACUUAAAGGAAUUGGCGGGGGAGCACCGCAACGGGAGGAGCGUGCGGUUUAAUUGGAUUCAACGCCGGAAAACUCACCGGAGGCGACCUGUGUAUGAGAGUCAACCUGAUGAAUUUACUCGAUAGCAGGAGAGGUGGUGCAUGGCCGUCGUCAGCUCGUACCGUAGGGCGUUCACUUAAGUGUGAUAACGAGCGAGACCCCCAUCUUCAAUUGCUAAGCCAAUCGCGAGGUUGGUAGAACUUUGAAGGGACCGCCAGUGCAGAACUGGAGGAAGGAGGGGUCGACGGCAGGUCAGUACGCCCCGAAUCUUCCGGGCAACACGCGCGCUACAAAGGACAGGACAAUGGGCUGCGACCUCGAAAGGGGAAGCCAAUCCCGAAACCUGUUCGUAGUUAGGAUUGAGGGCUGUAACUCGUCCUCAUGAAUCUGGAUUCCGUAGUAAUCGCGGGUCAACAUCCCGCGGUGAAUAUGCCCCUGCUCCU
rnacentral:rRNA from 1 species